rnacentral:rRNA from 1 species
GAUGAACGCUCGCGGCAGGCUUAACACAUGCAAGUCGAGGGGCAGCGCGGGAUAGCAAUAUCCUGGCGGCGACCGGCGGAAGGGUGCGUAACGCGUGAGCGACAUGCCCGUUGCCCGGGGACAACCGGUGGAAACGCCGACUAAUCCCCGAUGGGAUAUUGUGCCGCAUGGCACGAUAUUGAAAGUUACGGCGGCGACGGAUCGGCUCGCGUCCGGUUAGCUUGUUGGCGGGGUAACGGCCCACCAAGGCUGCGAUCGGUAGGGGUUCUGAGAGGAAGGCCCCCCAAAAUGGGACUGAGACACGGCCCAUACUCCUACGGGAGGCAGCAGUGAGGAAUAUGGGUCAAUGGGCGGAAGCCUGAACCAGCCAUGCCGCGUGCGGGAAGGAGGCCCUAUGGGCUGUGAACCGCUUUUGCCUGGGGGCAAUAAGGGCGUCGCGCACGUCCGAUGAGAGUACCAGGCGAAUAAGCAUCGGCUAACUCCGUG